rnacentral:rRNA from 1 species
AGAAUCUUCCGCAAUGGACGAAAGUCUGACGGAGCGACGCCGCGUGGUGGAUGAAGUCCUUAGGGACGUAAACACCUUUUAUGAGGGAGGAAGUUUAUUGACGUUACCUCAUGAAUAAGGGGCUCCCAAUUCUGUGCCAGCAGGAGCGGUAAUACAGAAGCCUCAAGCGUUACCCGGAUUUACUGGGCGUAAAGGGUAUGUAGGCGGUUUUAUUAGUCGUGUGUUAAAUCGUGGGGCUCAACCCCACGUUCGCGCAGGAAACGGUAAAACUAGAAGGAGUGAGAGGUGUGCGGAACUCAAGGUGUAGGGGUGAAAUCCGUUGAUAUCUUGGGGAACACCAAAUGCGAAGGCAGCACACUGGCACUUUCUUGACGCUGAAAUACGAAAGCGUGGGUAGCGAAU